GUGCAGCAGGCGCGAAAACUUUGCAAUAAGCGAAAGCUUGACAGGGCUAUCCCGAGUGCCAUCCGCUGAGGAAGGCUUUUACCCAGUCUAGAACGCUGGGGGAAUAAGGAGAGGGCAAGUCUGGUGUCAGCCGCCGCGGUAAUACCAGCUCUCCGAGUGGUGUGGAUGUUUAUUGGGCCUAAAGCAUCCGUAGCUGGCUAGGUUAGUCCCCUGUUAAAUCCACCGAAUUAAUCGUUGGAUUGCGGGGGAUACUGCUUGGCUAGGGGACGAGAGAGGCAGACGGUAUUUCUGGGGUAGGGGUGAAAUCCUAUAAUCCCGGGAAGACCACCAGUGGCGAAGGCUGUCUGCUAGAACGCGCCCGACGGUGAGGGAUGAAAGCUGGGGGAGCGAACCGGAUUAGAUACCCGGGUAGUCCCAGCUGUAAACGAUGCAGACUAGGUGUUUGAACAGCCACGUGCCGUUCUAGUGCCGCGGGGAAGCUGUUAAGUCUGCCGCCUGGGGAGUACGAUCGCAAGAUUGAAACUUAAAGGAAUUGGCGGGGGAGCAC
rnacentral:rRNA from 1 species